UCCUCAAGACGAACUCCUGUUCGUUCACGAGUUCUUCCUGCCGACACAAAUCCUCUUCGAUUCGGCCAAGUAUUUGCCCCUAGGCCACGUCGUCCACACUAUAAAUAUUCUACAGGUUCUUCUCUGCCAAUUUUUGGCAAAAUCCCUCUCUCCCGUACCCUUUAGCGCCCCCAAGAUCUCGCGGUAGUCCGCCGCCGCAGAAGCUCUUCCGCCGGCAGAAAUCGUCGCCACCGCGGGGAACCACCCAGCCGAGUGAUUCGAGCUCCCCCCGACGAACAACUCGGACGUCGCCGCUCCAGCCGGUCGUCGCGGACGCUAGCAGAAGCCCCAGUCGCCCAGGGGGACAUCUUCGAGUUCGCCGUGUUCCUCCUCACCUCAUCCUUUUCUCCCCGAGCUCGGGAGGCCUCUCCAGCGAGCGCACGCCCGAAGUCCGAGCCGGCCGCGCCGUCUUCCUCAACUCCGGCGGCCAUCGAGCCCUGUUUCUCCGAUUGUCCGGAGUGUGAAGCGGAUCGGAAUUAAUCGUUAGAGUACUUCAGCACGUCCAAGGCAAGUUUGUACAUUUGAUUUUGCUCAUCCUAUAUUCUGCGAUGCAUGUGUGGUUUUAUGCUAUGAUAUAUGUCUCGCUUGAUAUGUGUAUCCCGUGUUGUUAUGUUUUGGUAUUGAUUGUGUUAUGUUAUGGUGUGAUCAACUUGCUAUGAUAGAUGUGGGCAUGUGUCGAGUGAUCCAUGAAAGUGGUGAGUGUUUAUAGCCGUAGGCUCGGGAUUAUUAACCAGGUGAAUGCGUCACUGGCAGAGCGCUCUGUUGUCCCUAGAGAAUGCGCCAUUGACAGAGCGCACUUGAGGCGAGGUAUAGUUUUCGGAACUUAAAUCAAGUGAAUGCGUCCUUGGCAGAGCGCUCUAUGGUUCCUAGAGAAUGCGCCACUGACAGAGCGCGCUUGAGAGACUUCUGAAGUUCUUGUCAUGUUUUCUUAGAAUCUUUGGGUUAUCUUGGGCGAGUAAAUUAGAGACGGUUGUGAGUUCAGGUAGUGGAGGCAGGUGAAAACUUUCUUCUCCAAAUUAACUUGAGUGUUUUGUUUGUCAUACAUUGCUUUGUGGAUGUAGGUUGCUAUAUCAUAUUGUGUGAUUUGCCAAUACAUUCAAUGUAUUGACCCUUUGUGGCUGCAACUUAUCAUGUUGCAGGAUUUUCAGAUGAUCAAUGAGAUAUAGUAGGAUCGCGAGUCUUCACUCAACAUGUUCUCCGGUGGGCAAUGAUGGGACUCUUCGUUUGUUUAUGCUACAUUUCCGCUGUUAUUAUUGAAUAAAAGUUAGCUAUGUGCUACUCAGUUUGUAAACUUUAUAACUUCUGGAUCAUACGUUAUAUUAAAUAAUGCACUUGUUACUUGAUAUUCCUAUGUAUUGUGUGUGUUAGCGAUUCAAUCCAGGGACUAGCACAAUAAGCAAAGAGACAUCGAAUCUUAUCAGGUUCGGGUCGUUACAUUGAUCCCAGUGACACAAGGGGAACCGACACGUAUUGUAUUGUUGCCAUCGAGGAUAA